GGAAAAUAGGAACUUAAACAAUUACCUCCAGCCAUUGUUAUAGUGUUGUGAAUGCACAGUCUUUGAGUCUUCUAAGCUCUUACUCUCAACUAUAUAGAUGGUGUAUAUAUUUAUGAAUAAUGGAAUGAGAGCAAGCUUAGGGACCAAAGACUAUUAUAUAUGCUUGAUUCUACCAUCAUGAAUAAACAAGCCAUUACCACCCAAUUAAUUGUCAUUAAUCUUAUGACUAAUUAGCAAUCAAAACUUUCAUAACCUAUGGACCAUUAAAAGUGAGGUUUUAUUAACAAUAAUUUGUAAAGUAAAACCGAUAAAUUAUUACAUUCUCCCACUUGGUCCAUAUGAUCUAAUAAUUGGCCUAAAUAAGUCAACAAGUACAUUCCUUAAGAAACAAACAUGUGAAUCAUAGUGAUAGUUCCUCUAAAAGCGAGUAUUAUCAUUUAUGUAUUACGACAUAUUUAAUUACUCAAGUAUAUACUUAAUGUGGUAACAAUAAAACUUAAUGAAUAAACCAUAUGUUUAUUCUUGGUCCAAAAUGAAAUAUAUUUUCUCAAAACUAAAGUGCACAUGAAUAUGAGAAAAUAACAUAAUAUAUAAGAGUUAUAUUAAUAAACUGAAUGUAUACAAUCAUAAAGUGGAACCAAACUCAAAUAUAACUUAAUGAAUAAACUUAUAACAUUUAUGUUUAUUCAAGUUCCAAACUUAAACGAUAUUUCUCAAAAUCAAAUUUUGUACGUACACUUUAGAACUUAAAACAUGAGAAAAUAUCAUAUAUAGAGUUUCAUAAAACAAAAUUGUUCUUACAACGAAAACCAAAUAUAGGAACCGAGUCCCAUUUUUCUACACGAUCCUUAAAUUUUGACGGUGACAUGCCUUUAGUCAAAGGAUCAGCAAUCAUCAAUUCAGUACUAAUAUGAUCAAUAAUAAUUAUUUGAUCCUUAAUUCGCUCUCUUACGGCUAAAUACUUAAUGUCGAUAUACUUAAUUCGUCUUCUAAUUUUGUUAUUCUUAGCCAUAAAAUCGUAGCUGAAUUGUCACAAUGUAUCUUUAGUGGUCUAAAAUUGAGUUUACAAUUUUAAACCCAAAAUGAAACUCUUCAUUCAUACACCAUGUGAUGUAGUUUCAAACAAAAUACAAACUAACAAAAUACGAACUUAGCUUCCAUUGUGGAAGUUACGGUCAAGGUCUGCUUUGCAUUUUUUUUGCAAGAAACAACUUCACUGGCUAACAUGAAAAUGUAACCGGAUGCUGAUUUUCUUAAGUCAACGUAAUCUGCAAUCUCUAAAUUAGAGUAACCUUUGACCUCUAAAAUUUCAGUUAGCAUAUACAUAAACAUGUAGUCUUUGGUUCCUUGAAGGUACCUAGUUACUUUAUUUGCAGCUUUUCAGUGUUCCAUAUAUGGAUUACUCUAAUAUCUGUUUCACAUUCCGAUUGCAAAUGCAAUGUCAGGCCGUGUGCGAACCUGAGCAUACAUUAGGCUUCCACCAGUGGAAGCAUAUGGAAUAUUAAGUAUUUGUUCCCUCUCAAAAUUAUUCUUAGGGAAUUGGCUCAAAUUAAACUUAUCACCCUUCACAAUGGGAGCCAUACUCGGUGAACAAUCUUUCAUCCAAAAUCUCUCUAAAACUUUAUUGAUAUAUAGGUUUCUCGUGAUAGACCUAUAACUCCUUGAGAUCUAUCUCUAUGGAUCUUGAUGUCAAUGACAUAAGAUGCCUCACCCAUAUCCUUCAUAUCAAAAAUUUUAGAGAGAAAUUAUUUCACCUCAUGUAGAAAACUUUUAUCAUUGGUAGCAAGUAAAAUGUCAUCCACAUAUAAAAUAAGAAAACAAAUUUUACUCCCACUAACCUUCUGGUAUAUACAUUGAUCCAUGAGAUUUUCAACAAAUCCAAAUGAAGAAACUAUCCCAUGAAAUUUAAGAUACCAUUGACGGGAUGCUUGUUUCGAACCAUAUAUGAAUUUCUUAAGCUUGCAAACCAAGUGCUCACCAUCAUUAGAGAAGAAACCUUCAGAUUGUUUUAUAUAAACCUCCUCCUCUAAAUCACCACUAAGAAAUGCUGUUUUCACAUCAAUUUGGUGCAACUCAAGGUCAAAAUAUGUAACCAAUGCCAAGAUGACACGGAGAGAAUCCUUCUUAGAUACAGGAGAAAAAGUCUCUAUGUAAUCUAUUUUCUCCUUUUGAGUAAAUCCCUUAGCAACGAGUCUAACCUUGUAUCUCUCAAUGUUACCUAAUGAAUCCCUUUUGGUUUUAAAUACCCAUUUCCAACCAAUGGCCUUCAUCCCAUUAGGUAACUCUACAAGAUCCCAAACACCGUUGUUUUUCAUGGAAUUCAUCUCAUCUUUCAUGGCAUCAUACCACAAAUUUGACUCUUUGCAACUCAUGUCUUCUGAAAAGUUUUUAUGAUCAUUCUCAACUCCAAUGUUAUAGUCAGAUUCUUGUAGAUACACAAUGUAAUCACCAGAAAUAGCUGAUUUUCUUGUCCUAGUAGACCUUCUUAAUGUUGGAUCAACAUUUUCUUGUGGAUUAUGUUGUUCAACUAAUUGCUCAUCAUUUUCAUGAAUUUGAUGAUCAAUUUGAUCUAUUGGAAUAUCAANNNNNNNNNNNNNNNNNNNNNNNNNNNNNNNNNNNNNNNNNNNNNNNNNNNNNNNNNNNNNNNAUCAACAUCCAUUUGAACUUGAGGGAUAUUGUGAACAACAACUAAUCUAUCACUCGAAACUGAAGGUGGAACUCUAUAUGAUCAUGGACAGAAACUAUGUUCCUGAUUUAAUCACUCCCAUUAAUCAAGUGAUCUUCAAGAAACUUUUCAUUUCUUGACUCCACAAUCCUAGUUGUGUGAGAUGGACAAUAAAAUCUAUAACCUUUAGACCUUUCGGCAUAUCCAAUGAAAUACCCACUAAUGGUCCUCGGGUCUAGUUUCUUCUCUUGUGGUUUAUAAAUCCUAACCUCAGACGAACAUCCCUAAACGCGUGUUUGUCGCAAACUCGGUUUCCAACCUUUAAAUAAUUCAAAAGGUGUCCUUGGGACAACCUUGGAUGGAACCCGAUUGAGAAUAUACACACUCGUCUUUAGUGCUUCAUUCCACAAGGAUUUAGGAAGAUUGAAGUUGUUAACCAUACUCCGCACCACGUCCAAUAAAGUUUGGUUUCUUCUUUCUGCAACACCAUUUUGGUUCGCAGAACCGGGCAUGAUAUAUUGGGCAACAAUCCCAUGUUCUUGAAGAAACUUAGCAUAUGGACCAGGUGCUUGUCCAUCUUCAGUGUAUCUACCAUAGUAUUCACCACCCCGAUCAGAUCUCACAAUUUUUAUUUGCUUUCCAAAGGCUUUGAAGACAUCCAAUGCUUCAUUUUUAUUAUGAAGCAAAUAGAUGUUCAUAUAUCGUGAGUAAUCAUCUAUGAAGGUGAUAAAAUAUUUCUAACCAUGUGCAUCCAUACCUGGACAACAUAUGUAUGAAUUGUUUCUAAUAUGCUUGAACUUCUAUUGACACCCUUCUUGGAAACGUUGGUCUGCUUUCCUUUAAUGCAGUCAAUACAAGUUUCAAAGUCAGCAAAAUCUAGAGUAUUAGGUAACCCAUAUUUUAAUAGCCUUUUUUAAUUAUCUCUAUGGAGAUAUGUCCUAAUCUCCGAUGCCAUAACAUAGAAGAAUUCUAGUUAAUAUUACACCGCUUAAUGCCAAUUUGAACAUGCAUUGAACUAUAAAUGGAUUCAUUUUGUAAAUUAAUACGAUAAAGGCCAUCAGACAAUAUACCAUUCCCCACACGUUCCAAAUUAUAUAAUUCAAAUGAUGUGUCUUUAAAAUGAAAGGAAUAUCCAAAAGGCACAAGUCUAGAAACUGAAAUCAUGUUUUGUGAGAAACUUGGUGCAUAAAAGGUCCUUUCUAAUUUCAAAACAAAACCAUUAUUCAGAAUUAAAAUGCAAGUUCCAAUAACCUCCACAUGUGAGCCCAUCCUGCUUCCUGAUAGGAUAGUUCACUCACUUCAUACUAGCUUCCUUAAGUCUUGCAUACCUUGCAAGGAGUUUGCUAUAUGGAUUGUUGAUUCAGAAUCAAUCCACCAGUGUUUAUAUUAACAUUAGUCAUAUUAGAUUCAUAACUAACAAGAUAGAAUGAAUUACCUUUGAGCUCAGAAACUUUAUGUUUGAUAUCAGAAUAAACAAUAGAUUUAUAAGCUGAAAAAUUCCAAAGACUCAUAUCAAAAAUUUUGAGACAUAUAUAUUAUCUGUAAUGUAUGUAUUACCAAUGUAAACAUACCCCAAAAUAAAUCUUGUAACAUAAAAUUACCUGCGGGCUAAAUUUUAAUGUGAUGAGAUUUAUUUAAACUUUACGAUAGAAUUUUCAAAUCACAUACACAACAACAUACUUUACGUGCAUAAAAUAAUUUGUUUUUCUAUCCAAAAUUAUACUUUAUGAUAAAACUAUCAAAUUAUAUACCAAUUCAUAAUUCCUGCGGGUAAGUUAUGAAAAUAAUUUGACAUUCUAUCCUAAUUAAUCAUACAAACAUAGCAAAAAUUCCUGUAGGAUAAGAUUCACUAUAUCACAUGAUUAAUCACAAUGUUAUGUCUAAUUCCUUAUGUGACCUUAGAAACUUUAGAAAUAAUUUUAACUAAUUGUGGGUGCUGCGGCUAAACCAAAACUAAUUAAAAUUAUAAAGAUCACUAGAUAUAACAACUAAAUUAUAUGAGAAAAUAAAUUAUACAUAUCAAAAUAAGAUAUAACAAUGAAUAAAAUUUUCAUAUAUGAUUACAUAACUAAAAAUAAUAUUAUGUACCUGAUCAAACUUUUUCCAAAAUUGUAACGCAUAAUCAAUCAACUUAAUCAGAAAACAGAAUAUUCAGAGUACAAAUAUAUAAUAAGAUAACAGUAUUACAGAAGUUGUUAUCUAUCUCAGUGGUCAAGAAGGUAAACCUUUUACACAAAAGACCUGUGUCUGAAUCCCUGAAUCUAAAUUCUGCAUAAUUUUUUCAUCAAAAUUGCAUUGCAGCGAAUAUAUAUAUAUUAUUAACGAAGUAUUUUGAAUGUAAUGAACACAUAGCUAAAGUGGUCACAACAUGGCACUAUAGUACUAGACUACCAGGGACGCGGGUUUAAGUCCCAGGUUCCCCAAUUGACAUUUUUUUUUUUUAAAUACUACUGUUCAUCUUCAACCUUGAGCGGGUCAGUUCGACCCGAUUUUAUGGCCAACGAAUCCGAAUUGAAACCCGACAAUUUCAGAUCAAUUAAAACAUGGAAAAUAACAAUCAUUAACCUAGAAAUACUAUACAAAAGAUUUCCAUUAUAAUUUUGAUUUUAAUCUUGACUAAAAAGGUUUAAAUCAAAAUACCCAAAACUUCAAAAAAAACUCAAACUUUAAAACAAUUCUUAAUAUUCUGGGCACUCUUUAGAUUGAUUCAAAUAACUGAAAGCUUAGAAACUCAAUGAAACGAAAAUUUCUCAUAAUAUUUUGCAAUAACAAUGCCUUAACUUAAAUUUAAAUGAAAUCUUCAAAUUUUACCGAAAAUGGAAAAACUGGAACAAUGAACAAGGCAGAGGCAGUAAAGCUCUGAUACCAAAUGUAAGAUAAAUUCAAUUGAUCCUAUGUUCCUGACAACAAAAGAACAACAAGAUCAAUAAACCAAAUGCGGAAAAUAGGAACUUAAACAAUUACCUUCAGCCAUUGUUAUAGUGUUGUGAAUGCACAGUUUUUGAGUCUUCUAAGCUCUUACUCUCAACUAUAUAGAUGGUGUAUAUAUUUCUGAAUAAUGGAAUGAGAGCAAGCUUAGGGACCAAAGACUAUUAUAUAUGCUUGAUUCUACCAUCAAGAAUAAACAAGCCAUUACCACCCAAUUAAUUGUCAUUAAUCUUAUGACUAAUUAGCAAUCAAAACUUCCAUAACCUAUGAACCAUUAAAAGUGAGGUUUUAUUAACAAUAAUUUGUAAAGUAAAAC
rnacentral:lncRNA from 1 species